UCGAGAAUCAUUCACAAUGGGGGAAACCCUGAUGGUGCGACGCCGCGUGGGGGAAUGAAGGUCUUCGGAUUGUAAACCCCUGUCAUGUGGGAGCAAAUUAAAAAGAUAGUACCACAAGAGGAAGAGACGGCUAACUCUGUGCCAGCAGCCGCGGUAAUACAGAGGUCUCAAGCGUUGUUCGGAAUCACUGGGCGUAAAGCGUGCGUAGGCUGUUUCGUAAGUCGUGUGUGAAAGGCGCGGGCUCAACCCGCGGACGGCACAUGAUACUGCGAGACUAGAGUAAUGGAGGGGGAACCGGAAUUCUCGGUGUAGCAGUGAAAUGCGUAGAUAUCGAGAGGAACACUCGUGGCGAAGGCGGGUUCCUGGACAUUAACUGACGCUGAGGCACGAAGGCCAGGGGAGCGAAAGGG
rnacentral:rRNA from 3 species